rnacentral:lncRNA from 1 species
UGAGUUAUAUUGGUAUGGUUUUCAAUCGAAGACCAAGUAUGCUAAAAUGUUUUUAUCGUUUAACGACAGGCACGUGAGGUUGCCACAACUUAAAACAUAUAAACGUUUAAUGAAUGUAGUGUUGAUCAACAUAGAGUAAUAUGGGCUGAUCACCCAGAAGUGCUCGUAAGCUAUGCCGGACUUACGGACUUAGUGUCGG